UCGACCAGAUAAGAAUGUUUUGGUCAGUUUAUAAAGCGCUAGGUGGAAACACGUAUUGUCCCUUCGGGGACAUCCGAUAAAAUUGGAACGAUACAGAGAAGAUUAGCAUGGCCCCUGCGCAAGGAUGACACGCACAAAUCGAGAAAUGGUCCAAAUUUUUUUUCCCUCUUUCUGCUCGUAUGGAUUUGAUUUCAAUUUCUUUCAGACGCCCUUCUUUUUUAGACGUUUAGCAUAUAUGGCAAAUGGCUGAUAGAUUGGAGGUCAAAUGGCUGAUUCAGUAAUUGAGCUGUGAAUGAGUUAUUAAGCUGCGAAUGACGAUUGCAGUACUGAAGACAGUUUCUGGGAAAAAAAAGAGAUUGAAAGGGCCGCAUGAGUUUAAGUUACCCUUAUUCAGGUUUGACAACUGGAACAUCGAAAUGGUGCUCCAAGUGAUCGUCAAUGAUUGAGAACAGUCUAUUAAAUUUCAAACUGGUCAAAAUGGUCCAUAAGAGUUUGAUGAGUGCAUUGGAGAAAUAAUCACGGCUAAUGUUGAUGAAUGUUUUGUUGGGACUUUAGAGUAUGUUUUUAACAACGAUCCAUGUAUAAUGUAUUGAUCCUUGUUGCUAAAGCCUGUUGAAUAUAUGCAUAUGUCUUUGUAACUGUGUAAUUCAACUUAUUUAAUUGUAUGAUUACUUUUGAAAUAACAUUGUUCCGUUACCUUUUUUUAACACCACCACCGAGUUAAACAGCCUCAACUUUUUCUUCUAACAUGGUCAAAGCAUCAAUUAAGUGCUUCCUAGGUGAUACGGCAGAGAUGAACAUAUGAACCCGGGCCCAUGACCAGUCAUAAGCCUACAGUUAGAAAGCCUGAUUCUAAAAAUCAUUGUUAAUCUCAAAACAGUAAAAGUCCAUUUACUGUGGACACUCUUAUACAAUAGUCGAGCAUAGUUAAGCCCCAAAAUUUUGGACGACGGUCAACUCAAACAACAAAAGCAUCAUAUACCCAAAGAUAAGUAGUACAGUAUAUGAUAGUAACCACCAAGAAGGCAAGAAUUACAUAUCAAAGAUAGAAAUAGGUCUGUUACCCAGUUAUCCCAUACUAGUUCCUGAAUUGUGUAAAACUGAUUGUACAUCCCAAUUGUUUUACAAUUAGUCUUCAUUAAAAAAGAUUUCAUCUUUUGUGUGAGA